AUACACAAAAAGAGGCCCAAAAUUCUCCGUAGCGUAUUGGUAUGUAUUGUGCCGAUGCCUACCGAUACGGAUACGUAUCGGCCGAUACGGCACGAUACGCACCGAUACUUAAAACCAUGCUUGGAGGAGUUCCACCCACCCAGCUAUCCAUCUGUAGACUAUCGUAUUCAGCCUUCUUACCUACCUCCUCCUCCCUUUGCUCAAGGUGUAAAUGCCUCACAUGUCUCCCAGCCACCAAAAGUUUACAACUUUCCAGUUGCAGGCACAAACUUUAGUUCUUAGUCUACCCCCUUGGAAAGGUUUCCUCCCUCCUUCGCUCCAUUACAUGGCCCCCAUUGUCUUUUUAUGGGCCCACAAAAACCCUCUUGGACCUCCUUUCAGGCUUCUUCUUCUUCUUCUUAUGGUUUUUGUCCUGCUCAGUUUCCACAGAAUAGCAUGCAUUCUAGAAAUGACUUCCCUCGUGCCAUAACACGGCCCUACCAACAUGAAGAGCAUGCUCACUUUGGUUGAGUUUCAUCCUCUUUUCUUUUCCUCCAAUGGAGGAGCCUCAUCGUCAUCCUCUUCAUUUUGGUACACCCGCGAAGGUUGACUCAUCAAGAUACACAUCAAGUUUAUUAGAGAGUAAUAAGCUAGCUUUCUUAUCUGAUCUUGGAGGAUCAAAAAUUUCAAACACAACUCAUUAUAACCCAUUUGCAUCCACAUUUGAACAGCCACUGGAGGUUCAAAGUUCAAUUCGAGUUUUGCAGGUGUGAAUUAGACACAAACUAUAGUGGCAAGUAUUGAACGUCUUUUGGUCUGAGCCAUGUUCGAGUGGAUGGGUAGGGUGUUGUUGGGCUUUGUUCAAGGCAGACAGCUUCACCAUCGGAUUCUGGUAGGCCUAGAGGGCAGGUUUUACCCAGGGCUGAUGAUUCUUUGCUGGCUGCUGAUCAUGCACACCCAAGGGAUGCUCUAGUGUAAACUUUUACUGGCACCCGGUUUCAGUAUGUGAGAGAGCCUUAUUCAAACACAUCGAGGAAAUAUGGCCGUGUUCAAGAACAACAUCUCAACAGUGAUGACCUGGUAUCAAGACUUACUGGAUCACAUAAGCCUUUGGAUAUAGCUGAAAACAAUAAACAGAAUGAAGUUGUAGCUGCUGCGGUUGUAACCAAGUCUGCAGAAAAUGAUGAGUUUGGUGAGACAGCAUAAGUGGAUGCUGUGGAGAGUGGGAGCCCUCAGCCAGGGGAUGGGAAGAACCGGAGUUCAGGUAGUCCAAAUGUGGCCACAGAUUUCGUAAAGGAGGUUUUGAAGCCAUCAUGGCGACAGGGUAACUUGAGCAAGGACGCUUUCAAGACUAUUGUCAAGAAAACUAUUGAUAAGGUAUCUGGCGCUAUGAAGAGCCACCAAAUAUACCCAAGUCCCAGGUGAAAAUAAAUCAAUAUGUUGAGUCCUCCCAGCGAAAGCUUACUAAACUUGUGAUGGGCAUUGACUUUUGUGCUGGCUAUUUCUUACUUGGAAAGAAAAAUUGAUAAGGAUUUUAAGGAUCAGCUCUAAAGAUAUGCAUCAUGGACAUUUGCAUUUCUUAGACAUCGUUGGUGGUCUAGGGAACUGGAGACUGCAGAACAUGGUUCCCGAAGUAAUCAAAUCGAUUCUGGAUUAAAUGCUCGUGAUGUGGCACUUGUAUUGGAGUUGAGGUUGGUUGCGAGUCUAGGAUAUGGUUACGAGUGAAGCUAUAUGAAAUCAUAGAAAGAUAACGUAUGCCGUAAGAUUGAGGAGUACAUGUUAAUGAGUCGAGCUGAGGGGGUAUUCUCGAGAAAAUUCAUUGAGUUUCCACAUUUUCCCAUUUGUUUUUUGUUUGAAUUAUGAUUUUUGACGUUAUUAUGUUUGCUUCUUCUACGGAGAUGUGCGUGCUACUGUUCCAAAUGGAAGAAGUGGGUAUAUACCUGAAUAAUGAUUUGUUUUUUUAUCUACUUUGUUCUGCUCCUUGGUAUUGAGUAUAAGCAUGGUUCUCUCGAAUGGUCGUUAAAUCAAUAUUUAGUUGAAUAUAGUUUUCAACAUGAUUAAUUGUGAGUUCAGGACAUGGUUAUAGGUGAAGCAACAUAGAAUAUCCUUGGUUUGCUGCUUUGUUUUUGUUUUUUUUUUUUUUAUUUUUUUUUAUUUUGUUUUAUUUUUUUAUGCAAGAUUUCACUGUUUUGUUUUUAAAGGGUCUAAUUAUUUGAUUUUUGAUACGUACUGGUUGCAUAGUGAUGCACAUAGAAUUAUAAGGCUAGACACGGGAUUGAGGAAUGCAUGGUUAAUAAGGACUAGCAGAGUCUUGGAGGGGGUCUUCUUAAGGACAUCAAACUCAUCAUUGUUUGUAUAUAUUGUAUUAAUUUUUAGGUUUAGUUUGAAUUUCUGUCGAUAUAGUGAUCUUAAAGUUUGAAUUGAACCAUGUAAUUUGUUUCCUCUUCAGGUUGAGUGUGGAAUCUUGAAUAUCUAAGGUUGGAUUGUCCUAGGAUGUGUUUCAGAGUUUGAAAGUGGGGGUUUCUUCCUUAUUUUGAUAUUAUAUUAUACUAUGGUAUUCUUAUUGGUAAAGUAUUUGAAUUAUUGUUGUAUCAGGAAUGUCGAUCGAGUAAAUGAAAAUAUAAGUGGCUGCUUACUGAUGCUAAAAAGAUUGAGUUUCCUUUCUCCAUUUGCUUUUUUUUUUUUUUUUUUUUUCCACCUCUUCUACUA